GACGAACGCUGGCGGCGUGCUUAACACAUGCAAGUCGAACGGAAAGGCCCUGCUUUUGUGGGGUGCUCGAGUGGCGAACGGGUGAGUAACACGUGAGUAACCUGCCCUUGACUUUGGGAUAACUUCAGGAAACUGGGGCUAAUACCGGAUAGGAGCUCCUGCUGCAUGGUGGGGGUUGGAAAGUUUCGGCGGUUGGGGAUGGACUUGCGGCUUAUCAGCUUGUUGGUGGGGUAGUGGCUUACCAAGGCUUUGACGGGUAGCCGGCCUGAGAGGGUGACCGGCCACAUUGGGACUGAGAUACGGCCCAGACUCCUACGGGAGGCAGCAGUGGGGAAUAUUGCACAAUGGGCGGAAGCCUGAUGCAGCAACGCCGCGUGCGGGAUGACGGCCUUCGGGUUGUAAACCGCUUUCGCCUGUGACGAAGCGUGAGUGGCGGUAAUGGGUAAAGAAGCACCGGCUAACUACGUG
rnacentral:rRNA from 1 species